GAUUGGCGAUCCGUUGGAUACCGACCGAGUUAUAGGCAAAAGUUGGUGCCAAAAUGAGAAAAAUUUUACAUUUUCUCAAACAGGGUAAGGAACUUGGUUCCUCGAAUAACUUCUGGCACAGACAUCUCAGGGCAUGGCCGUCCAAGAAGAAAAUGUAGCCAUUGAUGCCAUCUAUCGACCACAGGUUAAAGAUUGGCGAUCCGUUGGAUACCGACCGAGUUAUAGGCAAAAUUUGGUGCAAAAAUGACCCUUAGUAAAUUUUCAUUUUUUUGAAUUUUUUGAUUUUUUCAUUAUUUUUCACUCUUUUUUUUAUUUCAAUCAUUAUUUGAGUGAAAUGAAACUCAUUGCAACCAAUUGGGAUAAAAAUAAAACAAUUUUAUUUUUUUUGCAAAAUUUCUCAAAAAAAACGUAAGGGGUAAGCCUUAUGAAAUUUUCGAGUUGAAAUUUUUUUGAAAUUUUUUUUUCGAUUUUUUAUUCUUUUUUUAGUUUAAAGCAUUAUUUGAGUGAAAAGAAACAUAUUGCAACAAAUUCCCAUUAAAAUAUAUCACAUUUUUCAAUAUUGCUAAAUUGUUCAGAAACAGGGUAAGGAGCUUGGAUCCCUGAAUAACUUCUGGCACAGACAUCUGACGGUAUGGCCGUCCAAGAAGAAAAUGUAGCCAUUGGUGCCAUCUAUCGACCACAAGUUAAAGAUUGGCGAUCCGUUGGAUACCGACCGAGUUAUAGGCAAAAGUUGGUGCCAAAAUGAGAAAAAUUUUACAUUUUCUCAAACAGGGUAAGGAACUUGGUUCCUCGAAUAACUUCUGGCACAGACAUCUCAGGGCAUGGCCGUCCAAGAAGAAAAUGUAGCCAUUGAUGCCAUCUAUCGACCACAGGUUAAAGAUUGGCGAUCCGUUGGAUACCGACCGAGUUAUAGGCAAAAUUUGGUGCAAAAAUGACCCUUAGUAAAUUUUCAUUUUUUUGAAUUUUUUGAUUUUUUCAUUAUUUUUCACUCUUUUUUUAUUUCAAUCAUUAUUUGAGUGAAAAGAAACUCAUUGCAACCAAUUGGGAUAAAAAUAAAACAAUUUAAUUUUUUUUGCAAAAUUUCCCAAAAAAAUCGUAAGGGGUAAGCCUUAUGAAAUUUUCGAGUUGAAAUUUUUUUGAAAUUUUUUUUUCGAUUUUUUAUUCUUUUUUUAGUUUAAAGCAUUAUUUGAGUGAAAAGAAACAUAUUGCAACAAAUUCCCAUUAAAAUAUAUAACAUUUUUCAAUAUUGCUAAAUUGUUCAAAAACAGGGUAAGGAACUUGGUUCCCUGAAUAACUUCUGGCACAGACAUUUGAGGGCAUGGCCGUUCAAGAAGAAAAUGUAGCCAUUGAUGAAUUCUAUCGACCACAAGUUAAAGAUUGGCGAUCCGUUGGAUACCGACCGAGUUAUAGGCAAAAGUUGGUGCCAAAAUGAGAAAAAUUUUACAUUUUCUCAAACAGGAUAAGGAACUUGGUUCCUCGAAUAACUUCUGGCACAGACAUCUGAGGGCAUGGCCGUCCAAGAAGAAAAUGUAGCCAUUGAUGCCAUCUAUCGACCACAGGUUAAAGUUUGGCGAUCCGUUGGAUACCGACCGAGUUAUAGGCAAAAUUUGGUGCAAAAAUGACCCUUAGUAAAUUUUCAUUUUUUUGAAUUUUUUGAUUUUUUCAUUAUUUUUCACUCUUUUUUUUAUUUCAAUCAUUGUUUGAGUGAAAAGAAACUCAUUGCAACCAAUUGGGAUAAAAAUAAAACAAUUUUAUUUUUUUUGCAAAAUUUCUCAAAAAAAACGUAAGGGGUAAGCCUUAUGAAAUUUUCGAGUUGAAAUUUUUUUGAAAUUUUUUUUUCGAUUUUUUAUUCUUUUUUUAGUUUAAAGCAUUAUUUGAGUGAAAAGAAACAUAUUGCAACAAAUUCCCAUUAAAAUAUAUCACAUUUUUCAAUUUAGCUAAAUUGUUCAAAAACAGGGUAAGGAACUUGGUUCCCUGAAUAACUUCUGGCACAGACAUCUGACGGUAUGGCCGUCCAAGAAGAAAAUGUAGCCAUUGGUGCCAUCUAUCGACCACAGGUUAAAGAUUGGCGAUUCGUUGGAUACCGACCA